AGGAACCAGGCACAAGGGCCCCAGUCCAGGAACCAGGCACAAUAUGGAGGUGGAGGAAGUGCAUGCCAAGGCCAAAGUUGAGGAUAGCGUGAUUCACAGUGAGCUGUUGGAGGGUUGCGAGGUUCUCAUCACGAGCGCGCCUACUCGUCUACUCGCCUACUCGUCUACUCGUCUACUCAUCUACUCAUCUACUCGUCUCGUCUACUCGCCUACUCGUCUACUGUACUAAACACCGUCUACUUGGGUAUCCAAACAUGAUCUCUCCACCCAAAAAGCUCUCCUCCAAGCACUAACGGGUUCUAGUUUUCACGAUCCAGAGAAAGAAAAAGAAAAGACCGAGGACCAUGUGGUUAUUGAUUUCUGCACCCGGCCCAAAAGGGCAGGGAAGAUACCAUACGGAGCCAAACUGAGGUCUAUCGGCACAACGGGCCGCUGGAACCGUCUUAGAUGGAGCAACCGUGGGGUGAGCCAUUUGUGAGCGUUCAACAGUGGUGAGCAAUGUUUUGAUCAGGCCAUGGAAUAUGUGCUUGCCAUGACCGCUCACUCUUGUACGUGUACUCGUACGGGUUGUCCUCCACUGUAAGAUUGCAGUAAUGGCAGUGUGCAAAGUGCAAACUCAAGCAUCUGGCUAUCACAGUGCUGGGACGGUCCAUCAACGCCAAUCAGCCGUCUAUCAGGACUCGAGUGCCAAUCCACGGCCAAUCAACACAGCUGACUACUUCGGAGCCCGUCUUUUAGGGCAAUCGGCGGCCAAGCAACAUUAGGGUGUCUUCGGUACGAGUACGAGUCGGAGUAUCGUGCAAGUAGUGUUUGGUAUGGCUGUAAAUAUUGUAGCUUUCGAAGCGAGACUCGGCCUUUCAACUGAGACCCAUUUGUUUUGGGAAAAAGUAAUGAGCAGCUAGCGCAGAGACCGUGUGGAAACGGAGGCGAAGGACAGCCAAUGUACAACUACGGUAGCUGAGACUGGGGCGAAUUGUUAAUUCGGUUUUAUAUUUAAUCAAAAUAUGGGACUUUAAAUUCCAUUGAAAGA
rnacentral:misc_RNA from 1 species